AUUGAACGCUGGCGGCAGGCUUAACACAUGCAAGUCGAGCGGGGUGAUGGUGCUUGCACUAUCACUUAGCGGCGGACGGGUGAGUAAUGCUUAGGAAUCUGCCUAUUAGUGGGGGACAACAUCUCGAAAGGGAUGCUAAUACCGCAUACGUCCUACGGGAGAAAGCAGGGGAUCACUUGUGACCUUGCGCUAAUAGAUGAGCCUAAGUCGGAUUAGCUAGUUGGUGGGGUAAAGGCCUACCAAGGCGAUGAUCUGUAGCGGGUCUGAGAGGAUGAUCCGCCACACUGGGACUGAGGCACGGCCCAGACUCCUACGGGAGGCAGCAGUGGGGAAUAUUGGACAAUGGGGGGAACCCUGAUCCAGCCAUGCCGCGUGUGUGAAGAAGGCCUUAUGGUUGUAAAGCACUUUAAGCGAGGAGGAGGCUCUUUUGGUUAAUACCCAAGAUGAGUGGACGUUACUCGCAGAAUAAGCACCGGCUAACUCUGUGCCAGCAGCCGCGGUAA
rnacentral:rRNA from 1 species